UCCGCGGGGAGACUGGAGAGAGUCUAGCCUGGGAACUGGAGCACUCAGCGGCCACAGCCAUGGCGGAGCGCCGCGCCUUCGCCCAGAAAAUAAGCAGGACUGUAGCUGCUGAAGUGAGGAAGCAGAUUGCUGGUCAGUAUGGAGGAUCUCCUCAGCUCCUCAAAAAUCUCAGUGUUGGUGGUCAUGCAGCGAACAACUCAGUCCCACUGACUGAGCCAGUAGAACCAGUGGACUUUGAGGAGUAUUUGAUAACUCACCCACCCAUCAUAGAGUCAGGACCCCUGAGAGACCUGAUUGAGUUUCCUCCUGAUGAUAUUGAAGUGAUUUACACACCCAGAGAGUGCCGCACAAUGGGCCAGGCAGUCCCAGAGGAAGGGGACAGUGAUGCACAUGUUCGAGACUGUAUCAGAUCCUACACGGAGGAUUGGGCGAUUGUCAACCGCAAGUAUCAUAAAUUGGGGACAGGCUUUAAUCCCAAUACACUAGACAAGCAGAAGGAGAGGCAGAGAGGUCUACCCAAGCAGGUCUUUGAGUCAGAUGAGCUGCCAGAUCCCAGCAGUUAUCAGGAUGAUCAGGAUGAUCUGAAGCGCAGGUCCAUGUCCAUAGAUGACACUCCCCGGGGAAGCUGGGCUUGUAGUAUAUUUGACCUGAAGAACUCCCAGCCUGAUGCUCUGCUGCCUCACCUGCUGGAUCGAGUGCCUAAUGAGGAGAUAGACCGGCACAACGAGGAGCAGCGCAAAGGAAAUCGUCACCGUGAGCUCUUCGCCCUGCACCCUGUCCUGGAUGAGGAGGAGCCUAUUGAACGUCAUUGUGUGCCUGAUGUCCCAAAAGAGCACUUUGGCCAGAGGCUGCUCGUCAAGUGCUUGUCCCUGAAGUUUGAGAUUGAAAUCGAGCCAAUAUUCGCAAGUUUGGCCUUAUACGAUGUCAAGGAGAAGAAAAAGAUAUCAGAAAACUUUUUCUUUGACCUGAACUCCGAGCAGACCAAAUCUCUCCUGCGUCCUCAUAUCCAGACAGCUGCUAUUUCUACCCUAGCUCGCUCCGCCGUCUUCUCCAUCACUUACCCCUCCCAAGAUGUCUUCCUGGUUAUAAAGCUUGAAAAAGUCCUACAGCAGGGAGACAUUGGAGAAUGUGCAGAACCGUACAUGGUCUUCAAAGAGUCCGAUGCUGCCAAGAACAAGGAGAAGCUGGAGAAGCUGCGCAGUCAGUCAGAGCAGUUCUGCCAGCGGCUCGGACGUUACAGGAUGCCUUUUGCCUGGACCGCCAUCCACCUGAUGAACAUAGUAAACAGUGCCGGCAGUCUGGAGAGAGACACAGAGCUGGAAAUGGGGUUGCCAGAGCGGAAGGGCUCAUGGUCAGAAAGAAGGAACUCUAGCAUUGUGGGACGUCGUUCCCUGGAGAGGACUACAAGUGGGGACGAGUCCUGCAAUCUGACCAGCUUCAGACCAGCUACUCUAACAGUUACCAAUUUCUUCAAACAGGAGGGUGAUCGGCUAAGUGAUGAGGAUUUAUACAAGUUCUUGGCUGAUAUGAGAAGGCCUUCUUCAGUUUUACGCAGACUUCGACCCAUCACAGCUCAGCUGAAGAUUGACAUCUCUCCUGCACCGGAGAACCCUCACUACUGUCUGACCCCAGAGCUGCUACAGGUUAAGCCUUAUCCAGACAGCCGUGUGCGGCCCACCAGAGAGAUUUUGGAGUUCCCAGCCAGGGACAUCUAUGUGCCCAACACCAAAUACAGGAACCUGCUGUAUGUGAACCCACAGAGCCUGAAUUUCGCCAACCGCCAAGGCUCUGCCCGCAACAUCACGGUGAAGGUGCAGUUUAUGAAUGGGGAGGACCCCAGCAAUGCCAUGCCUGUGAUCUUUGGAAAAUCCAGUUGUGCAGAGUUUGCAAAAGAGGCGUACACUGCUGUGGUCUAUCAUAACCGGUCCCCGGAUUUUCAUGACGAAGUUAAAAUUAAGUUACCAGCUUCUCUGACUGACCAUCACCACAUACUCUUCACCUUCUACCACGUCAGCUGCCAACAGAAACAAAACACUCCUUUGGAAACUCCAGUCGGAUACACGUGGAUUCCUAUGUUGCAGAAUGGACGUCUGAGAACCGGACACUUCUGCUUACCUGUGUCUCUGGAAAAACCACCCCAGUCCUACUCUGUUCUCUCUCCUGAUGUUCCUCUACCUGGUAUGAAGUGGGUGGAUAACCACAGAGGAGUAUUCAAUGUUGAAGUCGUAUCAGUAUCCACCAUUCACACACAGGACCAGUAUCUGGAUAAGUUCUUUGCGUUGGUGCACGCUUUGGAUGAACACAUGUUCCCAGUGAGGAUUGGAGACAUGCGGAUCAUGGAGAACAAUCUGGAGGCGGAGCUGAAAGCGAGCAUUGCAGCACUGAGCUCCUCUCAGCUGGAGCCAGUGGUUCGCUUCCUUCACUUGCUGCUGGACAAGUUGGUGCUGCUGGUGGUGCGGCCUCCCGUCAUCGCAGGACAGAUUGUAAAUCUCAGUCAGGCCUCUUUUGAGGCGAUGGCUUCCAUAGUGAACCGUCUGCAUAAGUAUCUGGACACCAGUCAAGAUAUGCACGGCCGGAACAGCCUCCUUUCAUCAUACAUCCAUUAUGUCUUCCGUCUGCCCAACAUGGACCCAAAUUCACCUUCUCCAGGUCCCGGAGGCUUAGGUGGUUCGGUGCAUUAUGCCACUAUGGCCCGAUCCGCUGUCAGACCUGCCAGCCUCAACCUCAACCGCUCCCGUAGCCUUAGCAACAGUAACCCAGACAUCUCUGGCACACCCACUUCACCCGACGAUGAAGUGCGCUCCAUUAUCGGCAGUAAGGGCUUAGAUCGCUCCAACUCCUGGGUUCACACCAUGGGCUGCAAGAGCGCCCCCUGGGGGACCAGCCCUGGCUCAGCGUCUGAUGCUAUGCAGGCCAUGGAGCGCAGUGGCAAUCGCAUGUCAUCGCACACUGAGAGCGCCAGUUUCUUGCAAACUUUAACAGGACGCUUGCCGACCAAAAAGCUCUUCCAUGAGGAGCUGGCCCUGCAGUGGGUGGUGAGCAGUGGCAGUGUGAGGGAGGGAGCCCUUCAACAAGCCUGGUUUUUCUUUGAACUCAUGGUUAAAAGCAUUAUUCACCACCUGUAUUUCACUGACCGCCUGGAGUCCCCCAGGAAGAACCGUUUCCCUGAGCGCUUCAUGGACGACAUCACUGCUCUGGUUAGCACCAUUGCUGGUGACAUUGUCUCACGCUUCCAGAAGGAUUUGGAAUUGGUGGAGAGGCUUAAUGCAAGCUUGGCCUUCUUUCUUAAUGACUUACUGUCUGUCAUGGACAGGGGGUUCGUUUUCAGUCUUGUGAAGACAUAUUGGAAGCAGGUGUCCACCAAGCUGUACGCUCUGCAGAACCCCACUCUGGAGUCUCUGAGGCUUGAUUUCCUGAGGAUCGUCUGUAGUCAUGAGCACUAUGUCACCCUGAAUCUGCCCUGCAGUCUGCUCACACCCCCUGCUUCCCCCUCUCCCUCUGUGUCAUCUGCCACCUCACAGAGUUCUGGGUUCUCUACGCAUGUGCAGGACCAGAAGAUUGCUAACAUGUUUGAGUUAUCAGUUCCGUUCAGAGAGCAGCACUACCUGGCUGGUUUGGUUCUGACUGAACUUGCUCUUAUUCUGGAUCCAGAGGCAGAUGGGUUAGUACACUGGAUGUUUGGACUGCAUAAAAAGGUGAUCAGUGUGGUCCAUAACCUGCUGUCCAGUCAUGAUUCUGACCCUCGUUAUGCUGAUCCUGAAGUCAAAGCCAGGGUUGCCAUGCUCUACUUGCCUCUCAUAGGCAUUGUAAUGGAAACCCUGCCCCAGCUCCAUGACUUCACAGAAUCCCAUAACCAGUGGGGUCGUCCUGGUGGGCCUGGAACAGAAGAACAGGAAGCUGAAGGCAACAGCAUGAUCAGUCAGACUGUAGCCAUGGCCAUAGCAGGAACCUCUGUUCCACAGAUGUCACGACCAAGCAGUUUCCUGCUCAACCCGCAGGCCACCCGUCAGCAUGGCACCUUCUCUCCUGAGUCCAGCCGCAGUCUGCUCAUCUGUUUGCUGUGGGUUCUAAAAAAUGCUGAUGAGAUGGUUCUGCAGAAGUGGUUCACAGACCUUUCUGUGUCUCAGCUGAACCGCCUGCUGGACAUGCUCUACCUCUGUGUGUCCUGCUUCGAGUACAAGACCCAUUUUUUGUUCAUGCAGGGAAAGAAAGCAUUUGAGCGCAUGAAUAGUUUAACCUUUAAGAAAUCUAAAGACAUGAAAGCCAAGCUGGAAGAGGCCAUCCUGGGCAGCAUAGGAGCCAGACAGGAGAUGGUACGACGCAGCCGAGGACAGCUGGAGCGCAGUCCAUCAGGCAGUGCCUUUGGCAGUCAGGAGAACCUCCGCUGGAGAAAGGACAUGACACACUGGCGUCAGAACAGUGAAAAGAUGGACAAGGGCCAGAAAUCAGUCAGGUUUAAGGAAACCCUACUGCGCAAUGGGAGAAGCCAGGAUCCUUUAUUAGUUAGAACCAGGGCUGAGCUGGAGCAUGAAGCCCUUAUAGACGGCAACCUGGCAACCGAGGCGAAUCUUAUUAUUCUGGACACUCUGGAAAUAAUAGUGCAGACUGUGUCUGUGACUGAGUCGAAGGAGAGCAUACUGGGAGGGGUCCUCAAGGUCCUGCUUCACAGUAUGGCAUGCAACCAGAGUGCCCUCUAUCUACAGCACUGCUUCGCAACACAAAGAGCGCUUGUCUCUAAGUUUCCAGAGUUGCUGUUUGAGGAGGAGACGGAGCAGUGUGCUGAUCUGUGUCUGCGUCUUCUGAGGAAUUGCAGCAGUAGUAUCAGCACCAUCCGAGCACACGCUAGUGCCUCUCUUUAUCUGCUGAUGAGACAAAACUUUGAGAUUGGAAAUAACUUUGCCCGGGUGAAGAUGCAGGUGACCAUGUCCCUGUCGUCUCUGGUUGGCACGUCUCAGAAUUUUAACGAAGAGUUCCUACGGCGAUCACUCAAAACCAUCCUCACUUAUGCUGAGGAAGACCUGGAGCUCCGUGAAACCACCUUCCCUGACCAGGUUCAAGACCUGGUGUUUAAUCUACACAUGAUUUUGUCAGACACAGUAAAGAUGAAAGAGCAUCAAGAGGAUCCAGAAAUGCUUAUUGAUCUGAUGUACAGAAUUGCUAAGGGUUAUCAAACGUCACCUGACCUGCGGCUGACGUGGCUACAGAACAUGGCAGGGAAGCACUCGGAGAGGAAUAACCAUGCAGAAGCAGCCCAGUGCCUGGUCCACAGUGCUGCCUUGGUGGCUGAGUACCUCAGUAUGCUGGAAGACCGCAAAUACCUUCCUGUGGGCUGUGUGACCUUCCAGAACAUCUCCUCUAAUGUGCUGGAGGAGUCAGCAGUGUCGGAUGAUGUGGUCUCACCAGAUGAGGAGGGCAUCUGUUCAGGAAAGUACUUCACUGAGGCUGGUCUGGUGGGGCUGUUGGAGCAGGCUGCAGCCUCCUUUUCUAUGGCUGGCAUGUACGAGGCGGUGAAUGAAGUCUACAAAGUGCUCAUCCCCAUUCAUGAAGCCAACAGGGAUGCUAAGAAGCUAGCCACCAUUCAUGGUAAACUGCAAGAAGCCUUUGGCAAAAUUGUGCAUCAGAGCACUGGCUGGGAGCGGAUGUUUGGUACUUACUUCAGAGUUGGCUUUUAUGGUUCUAAAUUUGGUGACUUGGAUGAGCAGGAGUUUGUAUACAAAGAGCCGGCCAUCACUAAACUGGCUGAGAUCUCACACCGGCUUGAGGGUUUCUAUGGGGAGAGAUUUGGAGAGGAUCAGGUUGAAGUCAUUAAAGACUCCAAUCCAGUGGACAAAUGUAAACUGGAUCCAAAUAAGGCGUUCAUUCAGAUCACGUAUGUGGAGCCGUACUUUGACACGUACGAGAUGAAAGACCGCAUCACGUAUUUCGACAAGAACUACAACCUGCGCCGCUUUGUUUACUGUACUCCGUUCACGCUGGAUGGCCGAGCGCACGGAGACCUGCACGAGCAGUACAAGCGCAAGACCAUUCUCACCACCAGCCACGCCUUCCCCUAUAUCAAAACCCGCAUCAACAUCAUCCACAAGGAGGAGAUCAUCUCCAUGCCUAUUGAGGUGGCCAUUGAGGACAUGCAGAAAAAGACCCAGGAACUGGCUUUUGCCACACACCAGGAUCCAGCAGAUGCCAAGAUGUUACAGAUGGUGCUUCAGGGGUCUGUGGGAACCACAGUAAACCAGGGUCCACUUGAGGUGGCACAAGUAUUCUUAUCUGAGAUUCCCAGCGAUCCAAAACUCUAUAGACACCACAACAAACUGAGACUCUGCUUUAAGGACUUUACAAAGAGGUGUGAGGAUGCCCUACGCAAAAACAAGUGUCUGAUAGGCCCAGACCAGAAAGAGUACCAGCGAGAGCUGGAGAGAAACUACCACAGGCUGAAAGAGGCCCUUCAGCCCCUUACUAACCGAAAGAUUCCCCAGCUCUACAAACCCGUGCUACAGGUCAACUCUCACAGCAGUUUGCAUCAUACCAUGUGAGGACUUCAGAGAGGAGGAAAAAAAAGAAGAAGAAGAAUCUAAGAUGUUGUCUCACGUCUAACAUGCCAGAAUUUGUGAUAUCUUUGAUAUGUUAAUUCAUCUCUGUUAGGGUUCACAGUAAGAUUAGAUACACAUUUUAUUUUUUAAGUAAUAGGUCAUCAAUUUUAAUGUUUCUUACAUUAUAUGCUAAAUUUCUGAUCAUGCUUUUUGCCACUUUGACAAGCAGCAAACGGACAGCUUGACAAGAGACUCCUUUAGCAGAAUGAGCCUCCGCAAGCUGGACAUGUGAAGACCAGGAAACUACAAAAAAAAAACACGUUUUAUUUAUUUGUUUGUAAAUAUUAAAAUCUUUUUUUUUUUUUUUUUUUGAGAGGGAAAAAAAAUCAGUGUUUUUUUUUAUUAUUAUUAUUAUUUGGCCAGAACAGAGAAGCUAAACCUAGUGUGAAGUUGGUACGUCAUUCCAAUUUUGUAUGCGUUUACAGACAUGGCCUGUUACAGUCAGUCAUUCGGAUUGAAGGUGGAUCUUGCAGCAUGUGUUGAAACUGUAUUAAAUAUCCUUUGUGCACUUUUUCUUUUUUUCUUUUUUAUAUAAACAUGGUGUCCUAAAGCAUUUUACCACACAUGGUACGACUCUGAAAGUUUGCUAUGUAAUCCGAAUGAAAAACAUGCAAAAAAAAAAAAAGUACCACUAUUUAUCUUUUUUUGUUACAUUUGUUUAAACUUAUUGAAAUGUUUUAAACAUUCUUGAAUAAUUUUAUGUAGCUUUUGUUUACCUUAAAUAUUUUACUAAAUAAAUAUUUUAAUGCAA